rnacentral:rRNA from 1 species
UACGGAGGGCGCAAGCGUUGUCCGGAUUUAUUGGGUUUAAAGGGUGCGUAGGCGGCCCGUUAAGUCAGUGGUGAAAGCCUCCAGCUCAACUGGAGAACUGCCAUUGAUACUGACGGGCUUGAGUACAGACGAGGUUGGCGGAAUUGAUGGUGUAGCGGUGAAAUGCAUAGAUACCAUCAAGAACUCCGAUUGCGUAGGCAGCUAACUAGGCUGUAACUGACGCUGAGGCACGAAAGCGUGGGGAGCGAACAGG